UCCACAACUUUAUUUAACUCUCCUUUACAAUUUACAACAAGAAGAGGAAUGGUCAUAUGACAUCUUGGUCACCAUAGUAACAGUUGACAAUUGGCAGUUGGGGAAAUGGCUGCCAGGCAGUGUAGCUAGUUCAAGCACAGAUAGAACAAUGAAAAAAAUAUUUGGUUCAAGUACUGCUAAUAUUACUGUUUCAGAGAAACAUACUAAAACCACAACAGAUAUGUAUGUAUAUGAACAUGUUAGGGGAUAGCAUAGUUAUUUUUUAUGUGUUGAGUUUGUAGAAUAUUUUUCAUGAGUAAGAUACUUGCUUAGCUAGUAUGAUCUCUACCACUGGCUGCUAGCUAGCUUUGAUUAAAAAAAAAUGUUUUAAACUUUUGUUUCUAUGGAAAGUGACAAAUGAGGUCUGAUAUCCCUCUUGCUACUGUGUCUCUAGUACUUUUGUCACAAGUUAGGCUAUCAUUUUUAAGUGUUUUGAAACUGAUGGCCACAGAUUCAAUUUUUAGAAUAGGUUUCCUUUACUACUACAGUAUAUAGUUAUAGUUAUAUUCUGAACUCUUCCCCACUCAUCUCUCUCCUCCCCAGUUAAAACCGAGCAUAUAAACAACAGAAGACAGCACUGAACAGCCAUGCAGGUGAAGGAAUCAUAUUUUAUGCAGUGCUGGUGAAAUGGACAAUCAAACAUGUCCACUGUUGCUGCAUUGAAUAAAAAAAUUGCCAUGCAAUCUGA